GUGGGCAGGGACUCAGAAGAGGGGCUUCAGGAGACCACCAGCCCGGGGCACCAUGGGAGGCGGCGCAGAGCCUGAGCCCAGGGAUUUGGAGAUAGCCGCCCCCGGCACCCCAGCACCAUGGGGAGGAACUCCUAGACUGUGGGAAAGUGGUCAGAGACCCCGGCCCAGAGCAGGAUGGUAGAGGACCCUGGAGGGUCGCUAGGUUUGGGGGGCCGCCGAGGGCCGCUGUUCUCCAGCAGGUAGCCCCUGACCCUGGGCUGUCCUCAUUUGAAGUCUUGACUCUCCCACCGUUUGGUCUCUGAGUCAGGGAGGGGGCCCUUGUGGACAUCUGGGCCAGAGGAGCUGCAGGCCUGGCGGUCUCUGGAGGCCCCUCCUGAAGAUCUGGGUGCGGUGCAGCACCUCCCCAGGCCGCCUUGCCCUCUGCUCGCUCUCUCCCUGAGCCCCCAGAGGCUUCCCUUGACUUCCUUUGGGUAGUAGGAGGUACAGCUGGCCAGAGGGGGCUCCAGCCUGGUGCUCGAAUGCCAGGGUCUGCUAGUGGCUGCUGCUCACGCCCCUCCCCACCCCCAGUCCUCCUGGCUGACAAGGAGGGUGGGCCACCGGCAGUGGACGAGGUGCUGGAUGAGGCUGUGCCCGAGUACCGGGCGCCGGGGAGGAAGAGCCUCUUGGAGAUCCGGCAGCUGGAUCCGGACGACAGGAGCCUGGCCAAGUACAAGCGGGUGCUGCUGGGGCCCCUGCCACCAGCCGUGGGUGACCAGGCUGACACUCCUGUCCGAGCAGGCUCCAGGGCCAGUCGUCAUGGAUCUCACAGGGGACCUGGCUGUUCUGAAGGACCAGGUGUUUGUCCUGAAGGAGGGUGUUGAUUACAGGGUGAAGAUCACCUUCAAGGUCCACAGGGAGAUUGUCAGUGGCCUCAAGUGUCUGCACCACACCUACCGCCGGGGCCUGCGCGUGGACAAGACCGUCUACAUGGUGGGCAGCUACGGCCCGAGUGCCCAGGAGUAUGAGUUUGUGACUCCGGUGGAGGAAGCGCCGAGGGGUGCGCUGGUGCGGGGCCCCUACCUGGUGGUGUCCCUCUUCACCGACGAUGAUAGGACGCACCACCUGUCCUGGGAGUGGGGUCUCCGCAUCUGCCAGGACUGGAAGGACUGAACCCCCAGUCCUUGUCUCCCCUACCU
rnacentral:sRNA from 1 species